rnacentral:rRNA from 1 species
UACAGAGGUGGCAAGCGUUGUUCGGAAUUACUGGGCGUAAAGGGCGCGUAGGUGGUCUUGUAAGUCCUGUGUGAAAUCCCUCGGCUCAACUGAGGAACUGCACAGGAUACUGCUCGACUCGAGUUCGGGAGAGGGACGCGGAAUUCCGGGUGUAGCGGUGAAAUGCGUAGAUAUCCGGAGGAACACCGGUGGCGAAGGCGGCGUCCUGGACCGAUACUGACACUGAGGCGCGAAAGCUAGGGGAG